rnacentral:rRNA from 1 species
UACGUAGGGCGCAAGCGUUGUCCGGAAUUAUUGGGCGUAAAGAGCUCGUAGGCGGCUUGUCACGUCGGAUGUGAAAGCCCGGGGCUUAACCCCGGGUCUGCAUUCGAUACGGGCUAGCUAGAGUGUGGUAGGGGAGAUCGGAAUUCCUGGUGUAGCGGUGAAAUGCGCAGAUAUCAGGAGGAACACCGGUGGCGAAGGCGAAUCUCUGGGCCAUUACUGACGCUGAGGAGCGAAAGCGUGGGGAGCGAACAGG